rnacentral:snRNA from 1 species
UAAAGCCAAUGAUUAGAGGCAUUGGGGGCG